rnacentral:rRNA from 1 species
GACAGAGGGUGCAAACGUUGUUCGGAAUUACUGGGCGUAAAGCGCGUGUAGGCUGCCUCGCAAGUCGGAUGUGAAAGCCCUGGGCUCAACCUAGGAAGUGCAUUCGAAACUGCGAGGCUGGAGUCCUGGAGAGGAAAGCGGAAUUCUCGGUGUAGAGGUGAAAUUCGUAGAUAUCGAGAGGAACACCGGUGGCGAAGGCGGCUUUCUGGACAGUGACUGACGCAUGAG